rnacentral:rRNA from 1 species
AACGUAGGAGACGACCGUUAUCCGGAGUUACUGGGCGUAAAGGGCGUGUAGGCGGUUUGUUAAGUCUGGCGUGAAAGCUCUCGGCUAAACCGGGAGAGGUCGUUGGAUACUGGCGAACUAGAGGAUGGUAGAGGCGUGUGGAAUUCCGGGUGUAGUGGUGAAAUGCGUAGAGAUCCGGAGGAACACCAGUGGCGAAAGCGACUCUCUGGCUCGUAUCUGACGCUGAGGCGCGAAAGCUUGGGUAGCAAACGGG